ensembl:lncRNA
AGAGAAUUUUGGAUGAAUGCAGAGCUCUUCCUCUGACUUCAAUUGAUACACAGUGAUAAUACUCAAGACUAAUUUCUGCGGCUUUUAUCGCUUGACUGAGCAUUUCUCCGUUUCUGAAGUUUAAAGGGAUUUUCUAAUCUCUUGCUUAUCAGAGGCCGGGCAAAGACCUGUCAUGGUUUAUGGAGGUAAAAGAGAGGCAAUAAAGGCAUUUUUAAGUGCCCUGUGGAAAGCACUGUCAAGUCCAGGCUAUGUCAAGCUGACACUUUGUGGUGAAACAAGAAUCUAAGCUACAAACUCCUGAAAAGAAAGUUUCUAGUCUCUUCUGGUCAUUAGGAGCAUCUAGAUGGACACACCUUGUAAGACCCGUGUCCUUCAUCCCAUCAUCAGUAACGUAGCAUGCUUAGUGCUCUCUGGUGCCUGGCAUCUGUUAAGUGCUAUUUCAGUUAAACGUUAGAGCUGUGAAAUGGUCUCAGAAAAAGGCGUCUGUGGUCAGUCUCAAGUAAAUGCCCAAUGAUCUAAGUAGCUGAUUAAGCAGGGUCACUCCUUACAGUCUAUCAGAUCUGCAUGAAAUGCACUCUGCAGCGGCACGCUCACAGACACAAUGGCAACAGCCCUUUGAACUAAGGCCAUAAGUUUCCUUAAUGGGAUACAUCAAAAUUUAAUGGGCCACUCAGGUUUACUACCUAGACAGAUGUGCUGAGUGCUACUAUUGGGAAGAUUGGAAGGUACUGGCAGUGUGACGCCCUUCCUUUAAAUUCUGUAUCCAACACAGACGCCAUUGUCUAACAUUUUGUAUUUCUUGCUUAACAACAAGGGUUUUAUCAUAAGCAAGUCAACUAUUUUUCUUCAGCGAGGACUUCAAGUACAUUUCUGACCUCAUCUCCCUCUUCCCUCUGUCCUGUCCAGGAACGCGCACUGGCCUCCUUGAUGCUCCUCAGAAAUGCCAAGCUCCAUUUGUGCAGCCUCUGCUGGAACAUUGUGUGUGUCUGGGUCCUCGGAGCAGCAAACACCGGAAUGACGUCCUCUCUUGCUGGCGUUGAUGAAGCCAGAUACCAUGCUGGACAGACAGACCUACAUGGCAAGGAAUUGGGAGAAAUUCCAGCCAACAGUCAGCUAGGAAGUGAGGCCCUCAGUCCAACAGCCCAGAAGUAACUGAAUCCUGCCACCAGCUGUGUGAGACUGCAAGCAGAUGUUUCCUCAAUUGAGGCUUCACAUGAGACCUGGUCAACACCUAAACGGAGGCCUUGUGAGAGGCUCUGCAGCAGAGGACCCAGGUAAGUCAUACCCAGAUUCGUGACAAUAGAAACGGUGAGAUAACAGGUAUGUUGUUUUAAGCAACUACUUGUGGUGAUUUGUCACAUAGUAAUAAACUAGAAAUACAGCCAGCUUUCCAUGAACCCCAACAGAGCAGCCUCUGAUGAGCUGUGAUUUUUAGGGAAAGAAAGGUGGUCCCUUUGGGGAUCAUUUUUCUCAUCUGUAAAGAAAUAUGUGAAAGAGAAACCAUCUAGUGCUCACAGACAAUAGCAAAAUUCAUGAUUCUAUUUUUUAAAUUCCUCUGACAUUAAGGCAGACCUCAUUCACAAUCACAUCAGAUAUAGAAUAUUCUUGAAAGAUAAAUUAACACCGAAAUGUAAAAUAGUUUUCAGUAGUAUUUCCCAUUUUCCACAACAGUACAGAACAACCAAAUAGUUACUUUCUUUUUAAAAACAUUAUUUUUUAUUAUAAAAAUAAUUUGGAAAAUUCAGUAUAUGAUAAAGAAAACUAAAAUCACUCCUAUAACUGUUGGCAACAAGCUGAUGGCUUGUUUCUAGUCUUUCUAUAGACAUACAUUUAAAUAUAUAUGGAUUGACUUUACAAAAUUGGUAUCAUACUACAUAUCCAAUUUUAUAUUUUUAUUUCAAUUAAUAGUAUAUCAAAAAAAUUAAAAAAUUAAAAUGAAAUAUAUAAAUCAAAACAAAGAUGUUGCCACAAAAAAU